UACGUAGGGUGCAAGCGUUAAUCGGAAUUACUGGGCGUAAAGCGUGCGCAGGCGGUUCUGUAAGACAGAUGUGAAAUGCCCGGGCUUAACCUGGGAACUGCAUUUGUGACUGCAAAGCUAGAGUGUGUCAGAGGGGGGUAGAAUUCCACGUGUAGCAGUGAAAUGCGUAGAUAUGUGGAGGAAUACCGAUGGCGAAGGCAGCCCCCUGGGAUAACACUGACGCUCAUGCACGAAAGCGUGGGGAGCAAACAGGAUUAGAAACCC
rnacentral:rRNA from 1 species